GGUAUUGCUCCCACAGGUGCUUGAAAGA
rnacentral:piRNA from 1 species